rnacentral:rRNA from 1 species
GAAACGGGAAGARCCCAGCGCUGAAUCCCAUCGCCCCAGCGGGCGGCCGGGAAAWGUAGCGUUCGGGAGGAGAGUAAAAUUUUCGCGCGGCUUYUAGGCGGCCAGUCCAAGUUCAUCUUGAAAGGGGCCCCGCUUAUCCGUARAGGGKGCCAGGCCCGUASCGACGGUCGCCGGCCGCGACGGUCUCUCUYCCCAGAGUCGG